rnacentral:rRNA from 1 species
UCUCAACUCGGAGAUCAGUGUCGAAGCUAACGCGUUAAGUUCGCCGCCUGGGGAGUACGGUCGCAAGACUGAAACUCAAAGGAAUUGACGGGGGCCCGCACAAGCGGUGGAGUAUGUGGUUUAAUUCGAUGCAACGCGAAGAACCUUACCUGGCCUUGACAUGUCCGGAAUCCUGCAGAGAUGCGGGAGUGCCUUCGGGAAUCGGAACACAGGUGCUGCAUGGCUGUCGUCAGCUCGUGUCGUGAGAUGUUGGGUUAAGUCCCGCAACGAGCGCAACCCUUGUCCUUAGUUGCCAGCGAGUAAUGUCGGGAACUCUAAGGAGACUGCCGGUGACAAACCGGAGGAAGGUGGGGAUGACGUCAAGUCCUCAUGGCCCUUACGGCCAGGGCUACACACGUACUACAAUGGUCGGUACAGAGGGUUGCGAUACCGCGAGGUGGAGCCAAUCCCAGAAAGCCGAUCCCAGUCCGGAUCGGAGUCUGCAACUCGACUCCGUGAAGUCGGAAUCGCUAGUAAUCGCGGAUCAGCUAUGCCGCGGUGAAUACGUUCCCGGGCCUUGUACACACCGCCCGUCACACCAUGGGAGUGGGUUGCUCCAGAAGGCGUUAGUCUAACCGCAAGGAGGACGACGCCCACGGAGUGUUCAUGACUGGGGUG